AACGGGUGGCGGGUUGCCGCUGUGCUUUGGCAUGGAGGAAAGUCCGGGCAUCGUAGAGCAGAGUGCCGGCUAACGGCCGGAACCGGCAACGGUAUGGAUAGCGCAACAGAAAAUAUACCGCCUGCUUGAAAAGGCAAGGUAAGGGUGAAAAGGUGAGGUAAGAGCUCACCGCGCUUUUGGUAACAAAGGCGGCAGUGCAAGCCCCACUCGAUGCAAGACCAAACAGAAAUGAGGCGUUGCUCGCGCUCCGUUUGCGGCAUUUCGGGUAGGUCGCUGGAAACCAUCGGCAACGGUGGUUCAAGAGAAAUGGCAGCCACGCUUAAACGCGAACAGAACCCGGCUUAUAGCCACCCGUUUCUU
rnacentral:RNase_P_RNA from 1 species